AUGGAUACGCCGGCUCCCCUCUUCUCGGGGCCAGCCCCUCCCCCGUGCCGGGUCGAGCCUCGGCUUGGAGGCCCUUGGGGCUGCCGUCGGUGCGGGAGUCCCGCGCGGCCAUGCGGGCUGGGGACCGAGCGGCGGGCCGGCCACCUGUGCCCUGUCCGCCCUGCUGCUGAGCCAUCCUUGUACCGUUGCACGCAUCUUCGCACCACGCGGCCAGCCUCUGGUGCGCACCUCUGCUUUUACUAG
rnacentral:rRNA from 1 species